UACAUGACGUCGCUGCCGGUACAUGGGCUU
rnacentral:sRNA from 1 species